rnacentral:tRNA from 1 species
GCAUUCUUAGCUCAGUUGGAUAGAGCUUCAACCUUCUAAGUUGCGGGACACAGGUUCAAAUCCUGUAGAAUGCU